GUCAGCAACAGCUCAGCGGUUACUUCUCGACACGGAAUUGUAAUUCUGAAAACCUUUCGGGGUUCGAAACCCGCGGGCGCCACCUGAC
rnacentral:vault_RNA from 1 species